AUUGAACGCUGGCGGCAUGCCUUACACAUGCCAGUCGAACGGCAGCACGGGUGCUUGCACCUGGUGGCGAGUGGCGAACGGGUGAGUAAUACAUCGGAACAUGUCCUGUCGUGGGGGAUAGCCCGGCGAAAGCCGGAUUAAUACCGCAUACGAUCUACGGAUGAAAGCGGGGGACCUUCGGGCCUCGCGCUAUAGGGUUGGCCGAUGGCUGAUUAGCUAGUUGGUGGGGUAAAGGCCUACCAAGGCGACGAUCAGGAGCUGGUCUGAGAGGACGACCAGCCACACUGGGACUGAGACACGGCCCAGACUCCUAAGGGAGGCAGCAGUGGGGAAUUUUGGACAAUGGGCGAAAGCCUGAUCCAGCAAUGCCGCGUGUGUGAAGAAGGCCUUCGGGUUGUAAAGCACUUUUGUCCGGAAAGAAAUCCUUGGCUCUAAUACAGUCGGGGGAUGACGGUACCGGAAGAAUAAGCACCGGCUAACUACGUG
rnacentral:rRNA from 1 species